AUGCAAAGAACUUUGAAAAGAGAGUUAAAGAGUACCUGAAAUGGCUGAAAGGGAAGCGAAGGAAACCAGUAUCGUGCGCCUUCAUAUUUCUUGUGUUUCUUGUGACUCGGGAGCUGUGAAGGUGUAUGGGGUCAGCAUCGGUUUCAUCUGCAGGAAACUGUGCACUGGAAAGUAAUCCCCCUUGUGGGACGCUACACGUGUUGUUUCGUAUGAUGGUUGAGGCUGAGGUUGUAGUCACUUUGUGCUCGUGGUGUUGACGAAAUGGUUUUCUUUACCCCGUCUUGAAACACGGACCAAGGAGUCUAACAUAAGUGCGAGUACUGGGGUGUCAAACCUCCGUGCGGAAUGAAAGUGACAGUGGUUGUACCUGUUAAGGGCACAAUCUGCCGGCCACAACCCUAUGGGAGAAAGGUCUGAGUGUGAGCAUACAUGUUGGGACCCGAAAGGUGGUGAACUAUGCCUGAAUAGGGCAAAGCCAGGGGAAACUCUGGUGGAGGCUCGUAGCAAUUCUGACGUGCAAAUCGAUUGUCAAAUUUGGGUAUAGGGGCGAAAGACUAAUCGAACCACCUAGUAGCUGGUUCCCUCCGAAAUUUCCCUCAGGAUAGCUGCAUGGAUUGUCAAUUUUAUGA
rnacentral:rRNA from 1 species